rnacentral:rRNA from 1 species
GACGAACGCUGGCGGCGUGCUUAACACAUGCAAGUCGAACGGAAAGGCCCUGCUUUGGUGGGGUGCUCGAGUGGCGAACGGGUGAGUAACACGUGAGUAACCUGCCCUUGACUGUGGGAUAACUUCAGGAAACUGGGGCUAAUACCGGAUAGGAGCUCCUGCUGCAUGGUGGGGGUUGGAAAGUUUCGGCGGUUGGGGAUGGACUCGCGGCUUAUCAGCUUGUUGGUGGGGUAGUGGCUUACCAAGGCUUUGACGGGUAGCCGGCCUGAGAGGGUGACCGGCCACAUUGGGACGGAGCUACGGCCCAGACUCCUACGGGAGGCAGCAGUGGAGAAUAUUGCACAAUGGGCGGAAGCCUGAUGCAGCAACGCCGCGUGCGGGAUGACGGCAUUCGGGUUGUAAACCGCUUUCGCCUGUGACGAAGCGUGAGUGACGGUAAUGGGUAAAGAAGCACCGGCUAACUCCGUG